rnacentral:rRNA from 1 species
GUAGGUGGGUUUGUUAGUCAGAUGUGAAAGCCUUUCGUUCAACGGAAGAAUUGCAUCUGAAACUACAAACCUUGAGUAUAGGAGGGGAGAGUGGAACUUCUGGUGGAGCGGUGAAAUGCGUAGAUAUCAGAAGGAACGCCGGCGGCGAAAGCGACUCUCUGGCCUAUAACUGACACUGAGUGUGCGAAAGCUAGGGGAGCAAACGGGAUUAGAUACCCCGGUAGUCCUAGCCGUAAACGAUGGGCACUAAGUAG